rnacentral:tRNA from 1 species
GUGGGGCUAGGUCAGGGAUUCGGUCCUGGCGUGGCCGACGACCCGCGCGAUCACGGCGCCCGCCGCGCGC